rnacentral:misc_RNA from 1 species
AAUUCUCAACCUUCCAUUAAUUUGGUUUGGCUUGGAUGUGGGGGUUGCAGGCUUCACUAUGAGGUCGGCUCUCCUUAAAUGCAUUAGUGGAACUUUUGUGGACCAUCUAUUGGUGUGAUAUCUAUCUACGCCGUGGAUGUGAAGCAGUGUUCAGCUUCUAACCGUCUAUUGACUUACUUGACC